rnacentral:rRNA from 1 species
CAAGGAAUAUUGGUCAAUGGACGCAAGUCUGAACCAGCCAUGCCGCGUGGAGGAUGAAGGUCCUCUGGAUUGUAAACUUCUUUUAUCUGGGACGAAACACUUCUUUUCUAAGAGGCCUGACGGUACCAGAUGAAUAAGCACCGGCUAACUCCGUGCCAGCAGCCGCGGUAAUACGGAGGGUGCAAGCGUUAUCCGGAUUCACUGGGUUUAAAGGGUGCGUAGGUGGGUAUGUAAGUCAGUGGUGAAAUCCCCGAGCUUAACUUGGGAACUGCCAUUGCUACUAUAUAUCUUGAAUACCGUAGAGGUAAGCGGAAUAUGUCAUGUAGCGGUGAAAUGCUUAGAUAUGACAUGGAACACCAAUUGCGAAGGCAGCUUACUAUGCGGUGAUUGACACUGAGGCACGAAAGCGUGGGUAGCAAACA